rnacentral:rRNA from 1 species
AUUGAACGCUGGCGGCAGGCUUAACACAUGCAAGUCGAGCGGGGGAAGGUAGCUUGCUACUGGACCUAGCGGCGGACGGGUGAGUAAUGCUUAGGAAUCUGCCUAUUAGUGGGGGACAACAUCUCGAAGGGGAUGCUAAUACCGCAUACGUCCUACGGGAGAAAGCAGGGGAUCUUCGGACCUUGCGCUAAUAGAUGAGCCUAAGUCGGAUUAGCUAGUUGGUGGGGUAAAGGCCUACCAAGGCGACGAUCUGUAGCGGGUCUGAGAGGAUGAUCCGCCACACUGGGACUGAGACACGGCCCAGACUCCUACGGGAGGCAGCAGUGGGGAAUAUUGGACAAUGGGGGGAACCCUGAUCCAGCCAUGCCGCGUGUGUGAAGAAGGCCUUAUGGUUGUAAAGCACUUUAAGCGAGGAGGAGGCUACUUUAGUUAAUACCUAGAGAUAGUGGACGUUACUCGCAGAAUAAGCACCGGCUAACUCUGUGCCAGCAGCCGCGGUAAUACAGAGGGUGCGAGCGUUAAUCGGAUUUACUGGGCGUAAAGCGUGCGUAGGCGGCUUAUUAAGUCGGAUGUGAAAUCCCCGAGCUUAACUUGGGAAUUGCAUUCGAUACUGGUGAGCUAGAGUAUGGGAGAGGAUGGUAGAAUUCCAGGUGUAGCGGUGAAAUGCGUAGAGAUCU